AUCUCAUGUCCCUUACCCCCCAGAAACCCUAGAACUUGCCGCCCCUGAAACUUCGCCAUCUCCGCCGGCGGAGACUCCACACACCACUCCGUUCCACCCAAACUUUACACCACAGUUUCUCCGUUUCCUCCUCAUCUCAAAUCCCCACAUAAUUUCCCUCAAAUCUCACUCAAAUCUCUUGAAUCUUGAUCAGAAACUCCAAACCCUAGCAUCGCCACAGUUCCUCCAGUGGCGACAAUCCCAAUCAACCCCAAAACACACCCUUGAACCCUCACCACCUCUUCUCCACUAAUCUGUGUUCAAUUGCUCUGAAAAAUCCCCCAUAAGUUUUUGAAUUUUAGGUUCAAGGUCCUGAACCCUGUUGCAUAAAGAUUGUUUGAGGAGUUAUUGCUCGUCCCUCGAUAAUUUUAUCUAAUUGCACGUAUUAAGAGCAAGUGGGUGAUAUUUUUGAAGGCGAACAUCAAAGGUUUGAUGUGUGUUGUUGAUUCGGUCCAAAUAGGUAAGCAUUUUGCACUUCUUUUAAGUUUUCUGUCAAGUUUGACUCAUUUUCUUCCUCGCCUCACUCUUUUGAUUUGAAGUUCAUGCUCAAAUUUUAGACAUGAGUUAGUUUUUGUGCCUGUUUUCUCCUGUUAAAUCUUGACCUUUCCAUUCUAUUUUUAAUGGUUAAUAAAAUAAGUGUUUUGGUUGGUUUUAUUUAGAUUAAAUCACUAUUUAGCUUAGUAUUGAUAGGUUUUAUGAUAUAGUAUUCUUAUUUAAAUGUUGGUGUGAUUGCUUGAAUCUUCGAUUCAUGUUUUAAUUUGUUUCCAGUGGCUUUUCGACAUUUUCUUUAAGAAUUGAUUCGUAGUUUGAUUUGUUAGAUGCCCUCUGUGUUUAGGCGAUCCUAUUUGUCACAUUCUCAAACCUAGGGGAGAUAAGUGAAUAAUUAGGAACUUUAAGGAUUCUCAAAGGGAAAGGCAUGGAUAGUAAUAUUUUGUUCAGCAAAGGGCAAUUUGGGGACUUCAUAUUCAGAGGAGAUCGAUUAUGUUAGUUAGAAGUUUCUAGGGGAUAGGAUAAACGUGAGUUUGUUAGGAGGGGUGAUUUUUAAUUCUUUGGAGGGGUAAGAGGGUAAAAAUAAUUUGCUUUGAGAGGGAUGAAAUGGGAAAUUACUAUUUAGGAUAAGGUUGCCUUAAAUAUCCCUAUAUAAUGACCCUUUUUCUCUUCAUUCAGGCAGAUUUUUGAACACUCUGAAAUCUGAGAGAGAAUUCCAGAAAAUACAAAAACAACUCCAGAAAAUUCUAUUGUUACAUUGACAAUUUCAGUUUUCCUUUCGGAAAAAACAAAGGUCCUUAUUGUGAUACUCAGAAUGAAUUGAUAUUUUAUUGUUGGUGCUUCUAAUUCAAGCUGUUUGGGAUUAAAUUUUCACUGAUUUUUGUUGGAUUAAGUUCCUAGGGUUUAAUCACUGGAACUUGUGGUGUUGGUUUGUUGAUUACUAUUCUAUUCUAGUCCCUCGCUUCUCUUCCUUUUUGUGCAAUUUUCAGGUAUUUUUCAGCUCUAUGGAUGUCACUUGAAGUGUAAUUUGAAGCAGAAAUUGGAAACAUGAAAUAGAAAUGUGAUUGUUUGUUUGACUUCUAUUUUGUUAUUCUUUCAAUUUUAUGACUAGAUUAUUAUAGCCUAGCAUAAGUUGUUCCUGUUACUGUAGUACAGUACUUGAAAUCAGUGUUAGGAUCGUUUCUUGUGUGUCGUAUCUUCAAGUGCAUUUUUGAAUUUGAGUCUGUAUUGGUUAGUAAGUCAGAUAUAUAUAUUUUCUUUUGAUAUGUGUGAGUAGCCUUUUAGCUUGGCAGGGGCUUUAUCAUUUUAAAUUGUUAGUUUGAUAACUGGACGUUUGAAUAGAUUAAAUUUGAGCAUGUGAUAAAAGCUGAAGUCAUGUAUUUAUUUUCUUCUGUGAUACAGUUUAUGUUCGGCAAUGGUUGAUGGUAAAAGGUGGAUCCAAUUUGCAGAUUGUUAAUGGUUUAUAUUGAUUUAUGAUCACGCAUGUGUAGUUAUGAUUUGGUAAUAAAUUCUGAAUAAAAAAAGUAGAUUGGUAACCUAGUAUGCUUGAUCAAGAAUUCACCGCCUAAUUUUUUUUAAUUGGCUUUAAAAUAUUUUUUCAAAGUUUAAGAAUUUGAAUGUUUGAGUGCC
rnacentral:lncRNA from 1 species